UACCAGCACCCCGAGUGGUCGGGACGUUUAUUGGGCCUAAAGCAUCCGUAGCCGGUUCUACAAGUCUUCCGUUAAAUCCACCUGCUUAACAGAUGGGCUGCGGAAGAUACUAUGGAGCUAGGAGGCGGGAGAGGCAAGCGGUACUCGAUGGGUAGGGGUAAAAAUCCGUUGAUCCAUUGAAGACCACCAGUGGCGAAGGCGGCUUGCCAGAACGCGCUCGACGGUGAGGGAUGAAAGCUGGGGGAGCAAACGG
rnacentral:rRNA from 1 species